rfam:Schistosoma margrebowiei strain Zambia genome assembly, scaffold: SMRZ_scaffold0000267
AUCCAGCUGACGAGUCCCAAAUAGAACUAAGUGUGACGUAUCCUGGAU